rnacentral:tRNA from 1 species
GCGGAAGUGGCGGAAUUGGUAGACGCACCAGAUUUAGGUUCUGGCGCCGCAAGGUGUGAGAGUUCAAGUCUAUCCUUCCGCACCA